rnacentral:rRNA from 1 species
AGGGAUACGUGAAGCAGCUUGCUUGCUUUGACGACGACCGGCGCACGGGUGAGUAACGCGUAUCCAACCUGCCCCUUACUACGGGACAGCCCGGCGAAAGUCGGAUUAAUACCGUAUGUGGUGUGAAGAGGGCAUCUGACUUACACUAAAGAUUCGUCGGUAAGGGAUGGGGAUGCGUCCGAUUUAAGGGUAGAUCGGCGGGGUAACGGCCCACCGUGCCCGCGAUCGGUAGGGGUUCUGAGAGGAAGGUCCCCCACACUGGAACUGAGACACGGUCCAGACUCCUACGGGAGGCAGCCAGUGAGGAAUAUGGUCAAUGGGCGAUAGCCUGAGCCACCAAGUAGCGUGAGGGAAGACGGCCCUAUGGGUUGUAAACCUCUUUAGUCGGGAAUAAAGUGGGCGACGUGUCCCUAUUGCAUGUACCGGAAGAAUAAGGACCGGCUAAUUCCGUGCCAGCAGCCGCGGUAAUACGGAAGGUCCGGGCGUUAUCCGGAUUUAUUGGGUUUAAAGGGAGCGCAGGCGGUCUGAUAAGCGGGCAGUGAAAGACGGUGGCUCAACCAUCGAGGUGCUGUCCGAACUGUCGGACUUGAGUACGUGCGAGGCAGGCGGAAUUCGUGGUGUAGCGGUGAAAUGCUUAGAUAUCACGAAGAACCCCGAUUGCGAAGGCAGCUUGCCAGUGCGCCACUGACGCUAAAGCUCGAAAGGGCGGGUAUCGAACAGGAUUAGAUACCCUGGUAGUCCGCGCGGUAAACGAUGGAUGCCCGCUGUGCGGCCUUUAGUGGUUGCGCGGCCAAGCGAAAGCGUUAAGCAUCCCACCUGGGGAGUACGCCGGCAACGGUGAAACUCAAAGGAAUUGACGGGGGCCCGCACAAGCGGAGGAACAUGUGGUUUAAUUCGAUGAUACGCGAGGAACCUUACCCGGGCUUGAAUUGCAGCUGCAUGGGGCAGAGAUGUCCCUUCCCUCGGGCGCG